rnacentral:tRNA from 1 species
GCACCCUGUGGCACGUACGGGCGCGAAAGCAUCGGACUUCUAAUCCGACGGUCGCAGGUUCGAAUCCUGCCGGGUGCGCCA